rnacentral:rRNA from 1 species
AUACGUAGGGUCCAAGCGUUAAUCGGAAUUACUGGGCGUAAAGCGUGCGCAGGCGGUUGUGCAAGACCGAUGUGAAAUCCCCGAGCUUAACUUGGGAAUUGCAUUGGUGACUGCACGGCUAGAGUGUGUCAGAGGGGGGUAGAAUUCCACAUGUAGCAGUGAAAUGCGUAGAGAUGUGGAGGAAUACCGAUGGCGAAGGCAGCCCCCUGGGAUAACACUGACGCUCAUGCACGAAAGCGUGGGGAGCAAACAGGAUUAGAUACCCUGGUAGUCCACGCCCUAAACGAUGUCAACUAGUUGUUGGGGAUUCAUUUCCUUAGUAACGUAGCUAACGCGUGAAGUUGACCGCCUGGGGAGUACGGUCGCAAGAUUAAA